rnacentral:rRNA from 1 species
AACGAACGCUGGCGGCAGGCUUAACACAUGCAAGUCGAGCGCCCCGCAAGGGGAGCGGCAGACGGGUGAGUAACGCGUGGGAAUCUACCCAUCUCUACGGAAUAACGCAUGGAAACGUGUGCUAAUACCGUAUACGUCCUUCGGGAGAAAGAUUUAUCGGAGAUGGAUGAGCCCGCGUUGGAUUAGCUAGUUGGUGGGGUAAAGGCCUACCAAGGCGACGAUCCAUAGCUGGUCUGAGAGGACGAUCAGCCACACUGGGACUGAGACACGGCCCAGACUCCUACGGGAGGCAGCAGUGGGGAAUAUUGGACAAUGGGCGCAAGCCUGAACCAGCCAUGCCGCGUGAGUGAUGAAGGCCCUAGGGUUGUAAAGCUCUUUCACCGGUGAAGAGAAUGACGGUAACCGGAGAAGAAGCCCCGGCUAACUUCGUGCCAGCAGCCGCCGUAAUAC